CCUACGGGAGGCAGCAGUGGGGAAUAUUGCACAAUGGGCGAAACCCUGAUGCAGCAACGCCGCGUGCGUGAAGACGUCUUUCGGUAUGUAAAGCUCUAUCAGCAGGGAAGAAGACAUGCAGUACCUGAUUAAGCAGACCCGGCUAACUACAUGCCAGCAGCCGCGGUAAUACGUAGGGGGCAAGCGUUAUCCGGAUUUAUUGGGUGUAACGGGAGCGUAGGCGUUUGUGGAAGUCAGAGGUGAAAGUCCGGGGCUGAACCGGGGAACUGCUUUUGAUACUGUUGAGCUUGAGUACUGGAGUGGUAGGCGGAAUGCCUAGUGUAGCGGUGAAAUGCGUAGAGAUUAGGCAGAAUACCAGUGGCGAAGGCAGCCUACUGGACAGAAACUGACGUUGAGGCUCGAAAGCGUGGGGAGCAAACAGGAUUAGAUACCCGAGUAGUC
rnacentral:rRNA from 1 species